UUCGCAAUGCCCGAAAGGGUGACGAAGCGACGCCGCGUGUGGGAAGAAGGCCUUCGGGUUGUAAACCACUGUCGGGAGUUAAGAAAUGCAAGGAUAUGAAUAGUGUCUUUGCUUGACUAAGGCUCCGGAGGAAGCCACGGCUAACUCUGUGCCAGCAGCCGCGGUAAUACAGAGGCGGCAAGCGUUGUUCGGAAUUAUUGGGCGUAAAGAGCACGUAGGCGGCUAUGUAAGUCGGUUGUGAAAGCCUUCCGCUCAACGGGAGAACAGCAUCCGAUACUACAUGGCUUGAGUGCGGGAGGGGAGAGUGGAACUUCUGGUGGAGCGGUGAAGUGCGUAGAUAUCAGAAGGAACGCCGGCGGCGAAAGCGGCUCUCUGGCCCAUAACUGACGCUGAGUGUGCGAAAGCUAGGGGAGCAAACGGGAUUAGAUACCCCGAUAGUCCUAGCCGUAAACGAUGGGCACUAAGUAGAGGGGUUUU
rnacentral:rRNA from 1 species